rnacentral:rRNA from 1 species
AGAGUUUGAUCCUGGCYCAGGAUGAACGCUAGCGGCAGGCCUAACACAUGCAAGUCGAGGGGUAACAGAGAGAAGCUUGCUUCUUUGCUGACGACCGGCGCACGGGUGCGUAACGCGUAUACAAUCUACCUCUUACUGAAGGAUAGCCCAGAGAAAUUUGGAUUAAUACUUCAUAGUAUGUCGACUUCGCCUGGAGAUGACAUUAAAGGUUACGGUAAGAGAUGAGUAUGCGUUCUAUUAGCUAGAUGGUGUGGUAACGGCACACCAUGGCAACGAUAGAUAGGGGCCCUGAGAGGGGGAUCCCCCACACUGGUACUGAGACACGGACCAGACUCCUACGGGAGGCAGCAGUGAGGAAUAUUGGACAAUGGGCGCAAGCCUGAUCCAGCCAUGCCGCGUGCAGGAAGACUGCCCUAUGGGUUGUAAACUGCUUUUAUACAGGAAGAAACACUCCCUCGUGAGGGAGCUUGACGGUACUGUAAGAAUAAGGAUCGGCUAACUCCGUGCCAGCAGCCGCGGUAAU